rnacentral:rRNA from 2 species
AUAUCAAUAAGCGGAGGAAAAGAAACCAACAGGGAUUGCCUCAGUAACGGCGAGUGAAGCGGCAAUAGCUCAAAUUUGAAAGCUGGCGUCUUCGACGUCCGCGUUGUAAUUUGUAGAGGAUGUUUCGGCGAGGGCUCCUGCCUAAGUUCCCUGGAAUGGGACGUCACAGAGGGUGAGAAUCCCGUAUGUGGCGGGCGGCCUUAGCCAUGUGAAACUCCUUCGACGAGUCGAGUUGUUUGGGAAUGCAGCUCUAAAUGGGAGGUAAAUUUCUUCUAAAGCUAAAUACCGGCCAGAGACCGAUAGCGCACAAGUAGAGUGAUCGAAAGAUGAAAAGCACUUUGGAAAGAGAGUUAAAAAGUACGUGAAAUUGUUGAAAGGGAAGCGCUUGCAACCAGACUCGUUCGCAGUUGCUCAGCCCGCCUCUUGGUGGGUGUACUCUUCUGCGGUCGGGCCAGCAUCAGUUCGGGCGGUCGGAUAAAGGUGUCGGGAAUGUAGCACCCUUCGGGGUGUGUUAUAGCCCGGCGCGGAAUGCGGCCAGCCUGGACUGAGGAUCUCGCUUCGGCAAGGAUGCUGGCGUAAUGGUUGUAAGCGGCCCGUCUUGAAACACGGACCAAGGAGUCUAACAUCUAUGCGAGUGUUUGGGUGUCAAACCCAUGCGCGUAAUGAAAGUGAACGGAGGUGGGAACCCGCAAGGGUGCACCAUCGACCGAUCCUGAUGUCUUCGGAUGGAUUUGAGUAAGAGCAUAGCUGUUGGGACCCGAAAGAUGGUGAACUAUGCCUGAAUAGGGUGAAGCCAGAGGAAACUCUGGUGGAGGCUCGCAGCGGUUCUGACGUGCAAAUCGAUCGUCAAAUUUGGGUAUAGGGGCGAAAGACUAAUCGAACCAUCUAGUAGCUGGUUCCUGC